CUGACGCUGAGUCACGAAAGCGUAGGGAGCAAACAGGAUUAGAUACCCUGGUAGUCUACGCUGUAAACGAUGCACACUUGGUGUUAAUCGAAAGGUUAGUACCGAAGCUAACGUGUUAAGUGUGCCGCCUGGGGAGUAUGUUCGCAAGAAUGAAACUCAAAGGAAUUGACGGGGGCCCGCACAAGCGGUGGAGCAUGUGGUUUAAUUCGAUGAUACGCGAGGAACCUUACCAGGGCUUGACAUAUACAGGAUAUAGUUAGAGAUAACUAUUCCCCGUUUGGGGUCUGUAUACAGGUGCUGCAUGGUUGUCGUCAGCUCGUGCCGUGAGGUGUUGGGUUAAGUCCCGCAACGAGCGCAACCCUUGUUAUCUGUUACCAAAA
rnacentral:rRNA from 1 species